rnacentral:rRNA from 1 species
AUUGAACGCUGGCGGCAGGCCUAACACAUGCAAGUCGGGCGAGUGGCGGACGGGUGAGUAAUGCUUGGGAAUCUAGCUUAUGGUGGGGGAUAACUACGGGAAACUGUAGCUAAUACCGCGUACCAUAGGGUGAGCCCAAGGGGGCUUAGGUAGUUGGUGGGGUAAAGGCUCACCAAGCCGACGAUCACUAGAUGGUCUGAGAGGAUGACCAGGUCACCGGGGACUUGGGUACGGACAAGACGCCGACGGGAGGCAGGAGGGGGGAAGUUGGCGCAAUGGGGGAAACCUGAAGGAGUGAUGCCGCGUGAAUGAAGAAGGCCUUCGGGUUUUAAAGUUGUUACGGUAGCGAGGCGUUAACUACAGAAGAAGCACCGGCUAACUCCGUGCCAGCAGCCGCGGUAAUAC